rnacentral:rRNA from 1 species
AGUGAACGCUGGCGGCGUGCUUAACACAUGCAAGUCGAGCGGGGGGAGGUAGCUUGCUACCGGACCUAGCGGCGGACGGGUGAGUAAUGCUUAGGAAUCUGCCUAUUAGUGGGGGACAACAUCUCGAAAGGGAUGCUAAUACCGCAUACGUCCUACGGGAGAAAGCAGGGGAUCUUCGGACCUUGCGCUAAUAGAUGAGCCUAAGUCGGAUUAGCUAGUUGGUGGGGUAAAGGCCUACCAAGGCGACGAUCUGUAGCGGGUCUGAGAGGAUGAUCCGCAACACUGGGACUGAGACACGGCCCAGACUCCUACGGGAGGCAGCAGGGGGGAAUAUUGGACAAUGGGGGGAACCCUGAUCCAGCCAUGCCGCGUGUGUGAAGAAGGCCUUAUGGUUGUAAAGCACUUUAAGCGAGGAGGAGGCUACUUUAGUUAAUACCUAGAGAUAGUGGACGUUACUCGCAGAAUAAGCACCGGCUAACUCUGUGCCAGCCGCCGCGGUAA